rnacentral:misc_RNA from 1 species
GAUGAAGAACGCAGCGAAAUGCGAUAAGUAAUGUGAAUUGCAGAGUUCAGUGAAUCAUCGAAUCUUUGAACGCACAUUGCGCCCCCUGGUAUUCCGGGGGGCAUGCCUGUUCGAGCGUCAUUUCACCACUCAAGCCUCGCUUGGUAUUGGGCAACGCGGUCCGCCGCGUGCCUCAAAUCGACCGGCUGGGUCUUCUGUCCCCUAAGCGUUGUGGAAACUAUUCGCUAAAGGGUGUUCGGGAGGCUACGCCGUAAAACAACCCCAUUUCUAAGGUUGACCUCGGAUCAGGUAGGGAUACCCGCUGAACUUAAGCAUAUCAAUAAGCGGAGGA